GCGAAGCGCUUAAGUUUGAUUCUUCGGAUGAAGACUUUUGUGACUGAGCGGCGGACGGGUGAGUAACGCGUGGGUAACCUGCCUCAUACAGGGGGAUAACAGUUAGAAAUGGCUGCUAAUACCGCAUAAGACCACAGUACUGCAUGGUACAGUGGUAAAAACUCCGGUGGUAUGAGAUGGACCCGCGUCUGAUUAGGUAGUUGGUGAGGUAACGGCCCACCAAGCCGACGAUCAGUAGCCGACCUGAGAGGGUGACCGGCCACAUUGGGACUGAGACACGGCCCAGACUCCUACGGGAGGCAGCAGUGGGGAAUAUUGCACAAUGGGCGAAAGCCUGAUGCAGCGACGCCGCGUGAAGGAUGAAGUAUUUCGGUAUGUAAACUUCUAUCAGCAGGGAAGAAAAUGACGGUACCUGACUAAGAAGCCCCGGCUAACUACGUGCCGGCAGCCGCGGUAAUACGUAGGGGGCAAGCGUUAUCCGGAUUUACUGGGUGUAAAGGGAGCGUAGACGGCUGUGCAAGUCUGAAGUGAAAGGCAUGGGCUCAACCUGUGGACUGCUUUGGAAACUGUGCAGCUAGAGUGUCGGAGAGGUAAGUGGAAUUCCUAGUGUAGCGGUGAAGUGCGUAGAUAUUAGGAGGAACACCAGUGGCGAA
rnacentral:rRNA from 1 species